rnacentral:rRNA from 1 species
AUAGUGACGGCCUGUGAAAGCAGGUUUCUUUUCGGAGACACUAUAACAGGUGGUGCAUGGCUGUCGUCAGCUCGUGUCGUGAGAUGUUGGGUUAAGUCCGCAACGAGCGCAACCCUUUCCUUAGUUGCCAUCAGGUAAUGCUGGGGACUCUAAGGAUACUGCCCGGUUAACGGGGAGGAAGGUGGGGAUGACGUCAAGUCAGUAUGUCCCUUACGUCCAGGGCUACACACGUGUUACAAUGGCCGGUACAAUGAGUUGCGACCCUGCAAAGGUAAGCCAAUCUCAAAAAACCGGUCUCAGUUCGGAUUGCAGUCUGCAACUCGACUGCAUGAAGUUGGAAUCGCUAGUAAUCGUAGAUCAGCACGCUACGGUGAAUACGUUCCCGGGCCUU